rnacentral:rRNA from 1 species
ACGCGUGAGUAUCUACAUUCAGGUCUGGGACAACCAUUGGAAACGGUGGCUAAUACCGGAUGUGCCGGAAGGUGAAAGGCUUGCUGCCUGAAAAUGAGCUCGCGUCUGAUUAGCUAGUUGGUGUGGUAAGAGCGCACCAAGGCGACGAUCAGUAGCUGGUCUGAGAGGAUGACCAGCCACACUGGGACUGAGACACGGCCCAGACUCCUACGGGAGGCAGCAGUGGGGAAUUUUCCGCAAUGGGCGAAAGCCUGACGGAGCAAUACCGCGUGAGGGAGGAAGGCUCUUGGGUCGUAAACCUCUUUUCUCAAGGAAUAACUCAAUGAAGGUACUUGAGGAAUAAGCAUCGGCUAACUCCGUGCCAGCAGCCGCGGUAAUACGGAGGAUGCAAGCGUUAUCCGGAAUGAUUGGGCGUAAAGGGUCCGCAGGUGGCAUUGAAAGUCUGCUGUUAAAGAGUUUGGCUCAACCAGAUAAAAGCAGUGGAAACUACAAAGCUAGAGUGCGUUCGGGGCAGAAGGAAUUCCUGGUGUAGCGGUGAAAUGCGUAGAGAUCAGGAAGAACACCGGUGGCGAAAGCGUUCUGCUAGGCCUGCACUGACACUGAGGGACGAAAGCUAGGGGAGCGAA